UGUUAUGUUAAAUACGUAAAUAAGUGA
rnacentral:piRNA from 1 species